AACCCACCCCCUGCAAAAAAAAACGCUCCUCUCGAUCCCAUCUCCGAUCUCCCUGCCCCGACUCUUCGUAGCCGCCGCCCACGUACGAACUCGUUCGUUGCCGCCGCCGCCGUCCGAGGGGAGACGCCGCCGCCGCGUCUCCAGGGCAGGGCGGCUUGAAUCCCUGUCGCCGGGAUCGCCCCCGCCGAACUCCGGGCCAUGUUGAGAUCCAGCAGGCCAUGGCGGCGACCAGCGCCGGGAUAGGACUAGGAGGCCGCCGGCGUCUCCCUGAUCCGUGACCCCGACGCCAUGGAGCUGCUCGUCAAGGCACGCGCGGGUCCAGCGGCAGGAAGGGCAGAGAGGAGGACCGAGCCCGCCGGUGCGCGUGACCAAGGGAUGUAACUGCCCGGAGCUACUUCGCCCUCGACGAAGAGGAGACCGCGGGCCAGAGCUCCUGGUCUCCCAGGGCCGCCGAGCGCAAGGAGCUAUUGCCAUGGCACCUCCUCGCUCGCCCUCGGUGCGGCGGCCGUGUAUAUGGAAUUGUGCUCUGGUGGGGGCUCCGAGGGAGGAAACCGAUGAGCACAAGGCGCUACUGCCAUAGCGUCCGGAGGGAGGCAUGACGCGCAGGGCUACAGGGAAUCCGCCGACGACAUAUGUGGCUUCUCCUAUGCCUGAUGGUGCUGUCAUUGCAGCGGCGGCAGCGGAUCUGAGUCCCACCCGUCGGGAUCGAACGACAGAUGGCGUGAGGCAGCUGGAAGCGAGUCCCACUCCCAACCUGAGGGCUCGACCUUCUCGAUUCCUGGCCGCGGCAGGUGCGGAACUCCGAAGUGACGGUGAACUCGCCGGCCUCGCACUGCCCCCACACAAGUGCCAUCAGGUCUGCAAGCUCUGGUCGCUUGUCUUGAUAUCAGCCAUGUAAUCAUAUCUCACUUCAUUGUGCAAUCUUGUUUCUGAUUCUUGGAGCUUGGACAUCUGAAAUUCUUUGUUUCGAAGCAUAUUUUUUCAGAUUGUUUCAUCUUAGUUUAUUGACAACAAAAUUGUUAACCUUUCUUAACCUUUGGUUGGACCAACUAAUUCACAAUCUUUUAGGUCAGAAUUUUCACGAGUACUCACUUAGGCUAUAGUUUUUCCUUUUCUUUUCUUUAACUCCCAGAAAAACAACAGCGUGCAUUGCAUCAUAUUAACCACUUGAUAUUACAGUGAUCAAUAUAUAGGAAUUUCAACUCAAGAAACAACUAAUAAGGUUGCUGAAAGGGUUAGGAUUUGAACUUAAGGUUUUUUUCUUGCUUAGCAGUUCAGUCUAUUGAAUUAAAUAGUUGCAUAUCUCUUCUAUUAUAAUUGGAUUUUUGCAAAGAUCUUUUCAGAUGGAGAGAUCACGGGCUUAUUGGCUUAAGCAAAUGAUCAAAUCCUUGGGCACUGAUAAAAAUUACUGAUGUGUGUGGUGGCAGCUGGCAUGUGAGUGUGCACUGACACAUCUAAAUAUAUUUUCUUAACAAUUAGUGAUCAGGGCAAUACUGUUUUCUUAACAACUCGUUUGUUGUGCAUGCACACUAAAUAUGUUUGACACAACUGAUGUUAAAUUGUUAGAGUAUUCACGCUCCCGUUGCGACGCACGGAUGAUUACCAGAUGAAUGUGAUACAGUAUAUUUCAAAUUUUUGUGCAGUUGCAUCAGCUACGACUUGUAAGGUAUAAACUUUGGGACUGUAUAUAGAGAAAAAAAGUGGUUUUCCUGCACUACACACUUAAAUAAUUAUAUUGCUAAUGCAAGUGAACAAUCAGCAUUUCUUAUUGAGCCAUGCUAAUGUUUCUCUUUGUUUAAUUGCGUACUCCUUUUGUUUACUUCUUCAGAAAGCACUUCGCUCUGUUGCACACAAGCAAUAACUAUUUCUGCACCAAUCUGUCCGAAGAUAUGAAGUUUGAACCAGCCCUUAGCUUGCAUUUGGUCAGUUCAUCUUUCAGGAGAAUAUGCAUCUUACUUAGUUCGAGGUGAAAUUUUGUUUGUCGCAUCAGGAAUAAAAAAAAUAUGGUGCCUCCGUAUCUUUAUAUAAAGUCCUUACUAUAUAUGUUGCUCCCUUCCAUUGAAUUGGAUGUAACAUUGUGUACACUUAAUGUCGAGACUAAUGUCUAUCGCCAAUUUCAGUAUAGUCGAAACAUAUUGAUGGCACUGAAAAUGAUUCUGCUUUUGCAGGUCUGACGUGACUCUUCUUUGUACGUAUGUAAUUGGUUUAUUUCUUGAUAGGUUGGUACUCUCUGAAUUUCUUGAUGAGCGUUCCCGUUGCUGCACCGCAUUGUGGCCGAGUCCUCUUCUGGGUCAUGCCAGUGACAUGAGCAGGAUGGUGUAUACCGGCUUCCCAGACAUGUGUCUGUCGAGGCCGCACCGGGUUUGUGGAGGUGAUGGCACGAGUAUUUACCAGGAUGCUUGGAGAUGCGUUGGCAUAUGUCCAGAACAACCUGGUCCACGCAUGGGGUCUGACUUGAAUAUUUCAGGAGAUGACUAGAUGUAAAUUUGACUUUCAGAUAAUACAUCUGUCAAUUGCGCAGAAUCAUAUAGAGCAGAUGGGCAUCGUUGACACGUAGUGCAUGACACAUUGCGCGAUUAAGAUGUUCUUAGGCCAGCUAAGUAACAUAAGACAACUUUUGUAUGAAGAUCGGUUGUUCGGUUUCACUCUGACAGUUUAGAAGCUUUUGUUUGGCGUUUCUCUCGGCCGGAUAAUAGAGAAAAAGAGACUUACGCAGGGUAUGUUUUCUCUCUCUAACAAUAAUUAAAUUUUGUACUAAGAAAACUCGUUAGAUGUUCUUACUGCUUGAUCUCACAUCAUAUUUACGUGCUAAGAAAUGAGUUGUAACUGAAACAAUAAUGUUAAUUUAUGUAAUUAUAUACUGUGUUGGAUAUUAGUUUUUUAUAAAAUUAAUUCCGUGUUCAAUUGGUUUUUCUUUUUGUGUGUCAAGAAUUUUUUUACAAUCUGUAACAUGAGUAAUUUUUUUGACAUACAUAAAUAUAUAUAUUUUUGUAUACGUGGAAUAUAUUACAAGAUCCAUCAUAAAACUGAAACAGCAUCAAGGCUCUUUGAAGUCAUAAUAUCCAGCUUCACCUUCAAAUGUCGACGUUCUACCAUGAUUGUGCAAUAUAUUUCAAGGCCCAUGAUAAAACUGAAAGAGCAUCAAGGGUUUUACAGGUCAUGGUUGCCGGGUUUUGCUGGCGUUGUGGUCCAUGCAUACCAAUUCUUUGAAUCAGUGCCACCGUGCAGUGAUGUAAGAAAAAGGUGUGUCGUUUGUCGACUGUGGGCAAUGGAGUGAUGUAGAUGUACUGUAGAGUACAUAUUCAAGGGAACAGUGAGGUGACUUUAGAUAGCUGUAAUGAGCUGAUGGAGCCUUUGACCUGAAGUUAUAUUUGUAUAGAUUACAUGAUUUGUUGAUGAGGAUAAGAAAGAGGAGCUGAUGGCAAACCAACCGAGGAAGGUCACCGAAGAUUGAGGUUGGGCGCGAUGCCACAUCAGAAGUUAUUUAGGCUAUGGGUGAGUUCGGGGCCAUGGAGUGAGCCGAUAGGAGGGUCGAGUAUGGUGCAUACAUGUCAACGUUGGUAGUCAGAACUUGAUGCUGAGUGUGGAUGGGAAUGAUGGGGUGAGGAUGAGCGUGCUUUAGUCCAGCAAUUUGUCAUUGCCAAAUGGUUCAAUCCCGGUGAUGUCAUUGCUGGAUAUGCAAGGUCUCACUGGGCAAGCGACGAAGAUUUCAUCCUCAACCUCCCUCAUGGCCCCAGGUUGGGGACAUGGCGUGAAGAUAUGGUUUUGUGUGAUCUAUGGUCCUGAGUCAUCUGUUGGAUGGGUGAUAAUGGAAAUUUUCUUGAGGACAAACACGUGCAUAAGUCUUGGGUUUGUUGUAGAUGGAUGCUGUGGCACCUUCUGAGAAAUGCACCUUGAGAAGAUGGCGCAAGGAGGAGCUUGACGACAAACCGAUCACUGUAUUGUCAGACUGGAGACCAAGUUACAGUAACUUGCAGGUUCAAUGUAAUCAUUCCAUUCCUCAUCAAUUCAGCGAGGUACAGAGAAUAGUGCGGUGCUAUGGAGGAACAUCUUACAGUACAGUGUGAAGACCUACUGGGCAGGUUGACUGAAGUUUACACACAGAGCUAAGAUAAGAAACAUUGGGCUCUUCGUGAAGGCAGGAACAAAACAAUUUUGUUAUCGUGCCGUGCUCAAGAGGAGGAAGAAGAGAAUAGCAUUUGUUAUAUAUGUGUGAACUGUGAAGAUAUGGCCAAAAGCAUAUGAUCGAGUUGAAUGGGUAUAUCUCAGGGAGAUCAUGUUAAAGCUCAAGUUUGAGGAAGCUUGGGUGCAAACAAUCAUGAAAUGCGGCGAGCACUGGUGCCCUCCUGUGAGCCCAAGCCUAUUGGUAUCAUCAUGCUACUAAUGCACCUGCCAAUGGACUACCUGGGAUGGAAUCAGUCAUGCGGCACUUUCUGAGAAUGCAGCUUGAGAAGAUGGUGCAAGGAGGAGCUGUGACGACAAAUCGAUCGCUGUAUUGUCAGACUGGAGACCACGUUACAAGAACUUGCAGGUUCAAAAUAAUCAUUUCAUUCCUCAUCAAUUCAGUGAGGUAGAAGAGCGUCCUUGGCAGAUUGAACUGCAAAGGAAUCAAGUGGAAACACUUGCCAAGUGGAAUGUACUCUACCAAGGGCGCCUAUAGAUGAUACAUGUGUCUCCAAGAAGUUGAAGAAUACAUAGAGCAUCACGUCAAUGACAUACUCUGAAACCUCAAACGGGAGGCUGGUGCUUUAAUGGCAGGGAUGGUGUUAAACGGAAGGAUGGUGCUUCAAGAAGUCAGUUAAGCGUGGAGUUUUUUUUUUUCAAGACCGAGCGACAUCUCUACAAUGGUGAUCUCAACGAAUGACAGAAACUUGGUGACAAGAGUACAAGAGCUGAUUGAUCAGUGACCAAUGUAUGGGAUGUGCAGGAAAUCACCAAAAUUCCGCUCCAUGAUCAGUUUGAUGAUCAGCCUGCCUGACACUAUGACAAAAGAGUCUUAUUCUUUGUUAAAUCAGCCUACAAAGUGGCUAGAGAUAGCAGCGAAGCACAUGAAUCAAUUCGAGGAUUCGCAACAACGUCAAAUCCUGCUGCUGAUAAUCAGAUUUUUUUUAAUAGAAGAAACUAUGGAGACUAUCUUUACCAAACAAAGUACUGCACUUCCUCUGGAGGUCAACCACUAGUAGUUCACCAAUGUGACAAAAAGUAAAAACGAGACGCGUGGAUGUAGAGACAAGGUGGCCUCUUUGUUUCAGGUUGGACAAAGAUGAAGGACACCUCCAGGAGAUGUCUGAGUGGCCUACAUGCUGAAUUCCUGGGACUACUUCAAGCUGUGCAAAUCACUUCAGCCAUGUGAUGCAGCAAGGUGCUUGGAGCUGGAAAUGGAUGCAUCAACUCUGAGGCUGGCAGUCAGAGUGUUAUGUGUUCAAUAUGAAAUUUGUAAUUUUUUUCUAACGCUGUGGCGCAUGAAAUACAGUAGCCUAUGAAUUUAGGAGGAGAAUGUGUUGUUACAAUAGAAAGAGGCCCUGGUCUGGUCAUGCCAGGCCUGAUACAAAAUGGAACUAGUCGUGAUCAAUGGGCAAUCUGCCCAGCUCAAUCUAUACUAACUUGUGUAUUUGUUGUAGAUGCAUCAAAUCUGAAACUGGUGUUAAUUGACUUGUGUAUUUUGUGGU